AUUGAACGCUGGCGGCAGGCCUAACACAUGCAAGUCGAACGAUUGGCGGACGGGUGAGUAAUGUCUGGGAACCUGCCUGAUGGAGGGGGAUAACUACUGGAAACGUUAGCUAAUCCCGCAUACCAUCGGAUGUGCCCAGAUGGGAUUCGCUAGUAGGUGGGGUAAAGGCUAACCUAGGCGACGAUCCCUAGCUGGUCUGCGAGGAUGACCAGCCAAACUGGAACUUAGACAGGGUCCAGAAUCCUACGGGAGGCAGCAGUGGGGAAUAUUGCAAAAUGGGCGCAAGCCUGAUGCAGCCAGGCCGCGUGUAUGAAGAAGGCAUUCGGGUUGUAAAGUACUUUCAGCGGGGAGGCGGUACCCACAGAAGAAGCACCGGCUAACUCCGUGCCAGCAGCCGCGGUAAUUC
rnacentral:rRNA from 1 species